rnacentral:misc_RNA from 1 species
GAUGAAGAACGUAGUGAAAUGCGAUAAGUAAUGCGAAUUGCAGAAUUCCAGUGAGUCAUCGAAUCUUUGAACGCACAUUGCGCCCUUUGGCAUUCCGAAGGGCAUGCCUGUUCGAGCGUCAUGAUAAAAUCUCAAGCCUUGCUUGGUAUUGGGUUUUCGUCUCACUUGUCUCUGUACAGGUAAUGACGUGCCUGAAAAUCAAUGGCAGUGCCUCAAUAGACUCAAGCGUAGCAGACUGACUCGCUUUGGAGAAACUGUUGUGGGUCCUGCAAUAAAAAUAUUAAGUUGGACCUCGGAUCAGGUAGGGAUACCCGCUGAACUUAAGCAUAUCAAUAAGCGGAGGA